rnacentral:rRNA from 1 species
AAUAUUGGACAAUGGGGGCAACCCUGAUCCAGCCAUCCCGCGUGUGUGAAGAAGGACUUCGGAUUGUCCAGCCCUUUAAGUAGGGAGAAAGGGCUUUAGGUUAAUACCCUGAAGUUUUGACGAUACCACCUGAAUAAGCACCGGCUAACUCUGUGCCAGCAGCCGCGGUAAUACAGAGGGUGCAAGCGUUAAUCGGAAUUACUGGGCGUAAAGCGCACGUAGGUGGUUCAGUAAGAUGGGUGUGAAAUCCCCGGGCUUAACCUGGGAACUGCUUUCAUAACUGCUGAGCUAGAGUACGGUAGAGGGUAGUGGAAUUUCCUGUGUAGCGGUGAAAUGCGUAGAUAUAGGAAGGAACACCAGUGGCGAAGGCGACUACCUGGACUGAUACUGACACUGAGGUGCGAAAGCGUGGGGAGCAAAC